CCUCUUCGAUCUGCUGCGGGCAGAUGAAGUGGAUGUGGCUGUCGUAGCCGCCGGCGGUGACGAUCAGGCCUUCGCCGGCCAGGAUUUCGGUGCCCGGGCCGAUGACGAUGUCCACGCCCGGCUGCACGUCGGGGUUGCCGGCCUUGCCGAUGCCGACGAUGCGGCUGUCCUUGACGCCGAUGUCGGCCUUGACGAUGCCCCAGUGGUCCACGAUGAGGGCGUUGGUGAUGACCAGAUCGACCGCGCCCUGGGCGCGGCUGCGCUGGCUCUGGCCCAUGCCGUCGCGGAUG
rnacentral:sRNA from 1 species